rnacentral:rRNA from 1 species
ACUCAAUAGAUACCCUGGUAGUCCACGCCGUAAACGAUGCGGACUAGGUGUCGGGGGUAUCGACCCCCUCGGCGCCGCAGCUAAACGCGUUAAGUCCGCCGCCUGGGGACGUACGGCCGCAAGGCUAAAACUCAAAGGAAUUGACGGGGGCCCGGCACAAGCAGCGGAGCGUGUGGUUCAAUUCGAUGCAACGCGAAGAACCUUACCUGGGCUUGACAUGUCCGUGGUACGACCCUGAAAGGGGAAGGACCCGCAAGGGAGCGGACACAGUUGCUGCAUGGCUGUCGUCAGCUCGUGCCGUGAGGUGUUGGGUUAAGUCCCGCAACGAGCGCAACCCUUGCCCCUAGUUACCAAUCUAGGGGGUACCGCCGAUCCAAACUCGGAGGAAGGUGGGGAUGACGUCAAGUCAGCACGGCACUUACGUCCAGGGCGACACACACGCUACAAUGGCCGGUACAACGGGUCAGCGAAGGGGUCGACCCGGGUAGCCAAUCCCCGACCAAAGCCGGGUCUCAGUUCGGAUCGCAGGCUGCAACUCGCCUGCGUGAAGGCGGAGUUGCUAGUAACCC